CCUACGGGCGGCAGCAGUGGGGAAUAUUGCACAAUGGGGGAAACCCUGAUGCAGCGACGCCGCGUGAGCGAUGAAGUAUUUCGGUAUGUAAAGCUCUAUCAGCAGGGAAGAAAAUGACGGUACCUGACUAAGAAGCCCCGGCUAACUACGUUCCGGAAGCCGCGGUAAUACGUAGGGGGCAAGCGUUAUCCGGAUGUACUGGGUGUAAAGGGAGCGUAGACGGCUGUGCAAGCCAGUUGUGAAAGCCCGGGGCUCAACCCCGGGACUGCAUUUGGAACUGUGUGGCUGGAGUGUCGGAGAGGCAGGCGGAAUUCCUAGUGUAGCGGUGAAAGGCGUAGAUAUUAGGAGGAACACCAGGGGCGAAGGCGGCCUGCUGGACGAUGACUGACGUUGAGGCUCGAAAGCGUGGGGAGCAAACAGGAUUAGAUACCCCUGUAGUC
rnacentral:rRNA from 1 species